rnacentral:ncRNA from 1 species
UUGGUUCGCAUUGGCGAUGAAAAGGGAAUGGGGUGAGAAUCCCCGACUGUCCCGCAGCUGUAUGUUCCAUUGUUUGAAGGCACGGAUGCCACUGUCCGUAUGACGGGAAGGCGCCUUCAGGGGAACGAGUCAGAAGACCUGCCGUUGGCUUU